CUUACCCUAUAGCUACCCUGCAGCUACCAUAUAGUUAGUUACCCUGGAGUUACCCUGGAGCUACCCUGUAGCCGGCUUAUGGCCCGCCGAAGGACAGCUAAACUCUUGUUUUUACCACUGUUUCUCUGAAUUACAAACUGAAAUAAGUUAAAACUUUCAACAACGGAUCUCUUGGUUCUGGCAUCGAUGAAGAACGCAGCGAAAUGCGAUAAGUAAUGUGAAUUGCAGAAUUCAGUGAAUCAUCGAAUCUUUGAACGCACAUUGCGCCCAUUAGUAUUCUAGUGGGCAUGCCUAUUCGAGCGUCAUUUCGACCCCUAAGCCCCUGUUGCUUAGCGUUGGGAAUCUACAGCGUAGUUCCUCAAAAUUAGUGGCGGAGUUAGGGUACACUCUCAGCGUAGUAAUUUCUCUCGCUCGUGUGGUGGCCUUGGCUGCUAGCCGUUAAAACCCCUAUAAUUUCUAGUGGUUGACCUCGGAUUAGGUAGGAAUACCCGCUGAACUUAAGCAUAUCAAUAAGCGGAGGAAAAGAAACCAACAGGGAUUGCCCCAGUAACG
rnacentral:rRNA from 1 species